UACGAAGGGGGCGAGCGUUGUUCGGAAUUACUGGGCGUAAAGGGCGCGUAGGCGGCGACUCAAGUUAGAUGUGAAAGUCCUGGGCUUAACCUGGGGACUGCAUUUGAUACUGGGUUGCUUGAAUUCGGGAGAGGAUAGCGGAAUUCCCAGUGUAGAGGUGAAAUUCGUAGAUAUUGGGAAGAACACCGGUGGCGAAGGCGGCUAUCUGGACCGACAUUGACGCUGAGGCACGAAAGCGUGGGGAGCAAACAGG
rnacentral:rRNA from 1 species